rfam:Branchiostoma floridae genomic scaffold BRAFLscaffold_228, whole genome shotgun sequence.
GUGGACAUCAUAACAAUUGGUUGGUUUGAAGCCUUUGCCAACUGAUAUUGUGUCCACAUAGAACAAGGUACUUGUGGGACGUGCCGACAGCCAGUCAGAAAACUUCGACUGUCUGUGCGAUUGUCUCACACACG